CACCAGAUGUUUUGGGACUACAACUCCCAUCAUCCCUGACCACUGGUCCUGUUAGCUAGGGAUGAUGGGAGUUGUAGUCCCAAAACAUCUGGAG